GACGAACGCUGGCGGCGUGCUUAACACAUGCAAGUCGAACGGAAAGGCCCUUCGGGGUACUCGAGUGGCGAACGGGUGAGUAACACGUGGGUGAUCUGCCCUGCACUUUGGGAUAAGCCUGGGAAACUGGGUCUAAUACCGAAUAGGACCACGCGCUUCAUGGUGUGUGGUGGAAAGCUUUUGCGGUGUGGGAUGGGCCCGCGGCCUAUCAGCUUGUUGGUGGGGUAAUGGCCUACCAAGGCGACGACGGGUAGCCGGCCUGAGAGGGUGACCGGCCACACUGGGACUGAGAUACGGCCCAGGCUCCUACGGGAGGCAGCAGGGGGGAAUAUUGCACAAUGGGCGCAAGCCUGAUGCAGCGACGCCGCGUGAGGGAUGACGGCCUUCGGGUUGUAAACCUCUUUCAAUAGGGACGAAGCGCAAGUGACGGUACCUAUAGAAGAAGCACCGGCCAACUACG
rnacentral:rRNA from 1 species